AGCAGCCGCGGUAAUUCCAGCUCCAAUAGCGUAUAUUAAAGUUGUUGCAGUUAAAAAGCUCGUAGUUGAAUUUCGGGAUCAGUAGGUCGGUCGUGCCACUGGUAUGCACUGGCCUCACUGGUUCCUCCUUCCUGAUGGACCGUAAUGCCAUUAAUUUGGUGUUGCGGGGAAACUGGACUGUUACUUUGAAAAAAUUAGAGUGUUUAAAGCAGGCUAACGCUUGAAUACAUUAGCAUGGAAUAAUGAAAUAGGACGAUCGAUCCUAUUUUGUUGGUUUCUAGGAUUGACGUAAUGAUUAAUAGGGAUAGUUGGGGGCAUUAGUAUUCAAUUGUCAGAGGUGAAAUUCUUGGAUUUAUUGAAGACUAACUACUGCGAAAGCAUUUGCCAAGGAUGUUUUCAUUAAUCAAGAACGAAAGUUAGGGGAUCGAAGACGAUCAGAUACCGUCGUAGUCUUAACCAUAAACUAUGCCGACUAGGGAUCGGAUGAUGUUAAUUUUUAAUGUACUCAUUCGGCGUCCG
rnacentral:rRNA from 1 species